rnacentral:tRNA from 1 species
GCUCUGGUGGCAUAAUGGGUAAGCGUUUGGCUGCUAACCAAAAGAUUAGCAGUUUGAACCUACUCAGCGGCU